CCUACGGGAGGCAGCAGUGAGGAAUAUUGGUCAAUGGACGAGAGUCUGAACCAGCCAAGUAGCGUGAAGGAUGACUGCCCUAUGGGUUGUAAACUUCUUUUAUAUGGGAAUAAAACAGGGUAUGCAUACCCUCUUGUAUGUACCAUAUGACUAAGGAUCGGCUAACUCCGUGCCAGCAGCCGCGGUAAUACGGAGGAUCCGAGCGUUAUCCGGAUUUAUUGGGUUUAAAGGGAGCGUAGGUGGAUUGUUAAGUCAGUUGUGAAAGUUUGCGGCUCAACCGUAAAAUUGCAGUUGAAACUGGCAGUCUUGAGUACAGUAGAGGUGGGCGGAAUUCGUGGUGUAGCGGUGAAAUGCUUAGAUAUCACGAAGAACUCCGAUUGCGAAGGCAGCUCACUGGACUGCAACUGACACUGAUGCUCGAAAGUGUGGGUAUCAAACAGGAUUAGAUACGCCGGUAGUC
rnacentral:rRNA from 1 species